CGGAGAUAUUAUUGGUGCGGUCGUCGGUGGUUUAGCUGGCCUGGCAAUACUGGUCGCUAUUUGUGUAGUAAUGGCUUGUGUUUGUGCAUGGCAACGUAGGAGUCCUGGUCAAGUUAUUUAUACCAUUCGUCCUGGAAAUACAGCGGUCGCAUACAACAAUGCUACAACGCAGUAUCCAGUCGGAGUUCAACAACCUGUGUAUACAGUUUUUACAACGAACGAAAACAUCACCAAACCCCAGUAAAAAGAAGUGGCAUAAAAUAAUCAAAUAAAUAGAAUACCUCU